rnacentral:rRNA from 1 species
GAAUCUUGCACAAUGGGGGAAACCCUGAUGCAGCGACGCCGCGUGAACGAUGAAGCCCUUCGGGGUGUAAAGUUCUUUCGACAGGAACGAUAAUGACGGUACCUGGAGAAGAAGCUGCGGCUAACUACGUGCCAGCAGCCGCGGUAAUACGUAGGCAGUGAGCGUUGUUCGGAGUUACUGGGCGUAAAGAGUGCGUAGGCGGCGAGCCAAGUUUGGUGUGAAAUCUCCCGGCUUAACCGGGAGGGUGCGCCGAAAACUGGUUGGCUGGAGGAUGUGAGAGGAAAGCGGAAUUCCUGGUGUAGCGGUGAAAUGCGUAGAGAUCAGGAGGAACACCUGCGGUGUAGACAGCUUUCUGGACCAAAACUGACGCUGAGGCACGAAAGCGUGGGUAGCAAACA